UGCUAUGAAUUGCCAUUCAUGACGUAUCUACAUAUGAGCUACACUGAGUGAACAGCAUGAUACCACAAUCUAUCGAAGAGUUCGAGCAAGUCAACGAUUGAGUGGGAUGCAACACGCAAACCAAUUAACUUUAAAUUAAACGCGCUAUCGCUGCCAGCUCGGCGACUCUCAGUUUUGCGCGCGCUUCGAUUAUUUAUGAGCAUGUAGACAAUCGCAAAUCACAUCCGCUUGGCUUGAAGAACGAAUCAAAACGACACUCCAGCCAGUGUGUGGCGGUUUGAACUCAUGCGAGCUACUAUUACUACUCGACUUAGGCUUGUAAGGCGAUGUAGAGCUUUCUAUGAACUUAAUUCUUGUGAUUGUCGUUUGGAGGUACGGCAAAGCAAAAAAUGCAGCCAAACGUGUUCAGGUGAGCUGAGGAGAGGUUACAACAAAAACGUUUGCGUCUGCCCGACUUGAGUGACUAACAGGGUGUUUGAUCCUAUGUUCAUAAUACUAGAAAGCGCAUAUGCACAAAUUAUGUCAGCUAAAUAUGUCAAGCAUAUUACUCUCCCUCUCUUCUUUUUUCUACAAUUUAUGUGAAGUGAAUUCCACAAUGUAUUUACAGUAAUGGAUUCGUCUGAUGAAUUGAUUUAUCGUCCUUCUUUCUGAACUUUAUCCUCCAUACUAUCGCGACAGUUUAUCAAUACAACAUUGUUGACCUACCUACACGCGUCCUAGGAAAUAGGUUCCAGAUAAACCACAGGAACUUUGUAUGAGGUGGUCUCUAUCAUUUUGAAUCUAAGUUUGUAAAAAUCGGUUCAGUCAUCUUUGAGAAAAAUUAUGUAUAAAAACGUUACAUACGUACAAAUUCACACAGUUAAAG